ensembl:lncRNA
GGCUGGGCCUUUAAUCUGCUCAUCCCAUUGUCCGUUUGUCUGUAUUCUUUUUACAUAGCAUGCCUCUAUUUUAUAUUGUUUGUGUGGAGAAACUGAGUCGGUGAGUGCCCUGUGCCAGAGCCUGUCCCUGUUCCUGCCCCGGUGCAGCCUAGUCACCAGUAGCACUCAAUUUGUUUGUAGAGGUGCAUUUGGUUAUUUCUACAGCUGAUGGAAAUUGGUGUAAUCGUUUUGUAUGCUUACUAUAUUUUAACUAAAUGUUGAAAUCUGGGAAUACUUUUUCCUCAGUCUGACUUCAGUCACCUGUUGAUCCGUGGUUGUUGGAUAAUUUAUGAGGAAAUAUUUAACCCUGUGCUACCGGUGGUUACAAAUGUAUUUCUUCCAGUUGCUCAACUUCUCAUGACUUGAUCUACACACUAUGCAUCAGCUAAAACUAAUGCAUUCUAAUACAACAGCCCUAAAACUAUUUCUCCCGCAUUCUCUUGUAUCUGUCGACAGCCCAAAUAGAAAUCUGCUAAUGGUACCCCUAGAGGGGAUUUACUUGCACGUUGAACUUUACUAAUUGCUUGUGAUCUCUUCUCAGACUGCUAUGGCUGGUUCUACACCUGCAGAAUCAAGAUGACCAAUGGAAAAACUAAAACUUCCAAUGUUCGGAAGUUAGGGUUGGUUCAAAAUGCGUUUGGCAAGAAACCUGGUGGAGACCGUGGUGCCAUGAAAGCAAACAAAAGGACGGUCCAGAGAGUUGGUCGAGCAGUUUCAGCCUCCUCUGACGGUGGAAAUUACCAGCACUCUUUAGUGAUUUGAGAGAACGGAUGAUCCAGAGAAGACAACAGGGUCCUGCCUUCGGCUCCCUAGGAGCGGCCAAGCAACUUCAGCCUCCUGUGAAAAUUGAGAGGACGAUUCAGAGAACACUACAGGCUCCUGCUUCAGAGGCAUGCAGCUUUAGCCUCCUGUGGAAAUUGCCUUAUGCUCCUGCAAAAUUAGCGAUUUGACUAACUGGAUGAUAGAAUCCAACUCUCUACAGGCUUUGGCAAAAGGUAAGACCCUAAGUGUGGGCUAGGG